GAUGAACGCUGGCGGCGUGCCUAAUACAUGCAAGUCGAGCGAACAGAUGAGGAGCUUGCUCCUCUGACUUUAGCGGCGGACGUGUGAUUAACACGUGGAUAACCUACCUAUAAGACUGGUAUAACUUCGGGAAACCGGAGCUAAUACCGGAUAAUAUAUUUAACCGCAUGGUUCAAUAGUUAAAGACGUUUUUUCUGUCUCUUAUAGAUUGAUCCUCUCCGCAUUAGCUAGUUGGUAAGGUAACGGCUUACCAAGGCAACGAUGCGUAGCCGACCUGAGAGGGUGAGAGGCGAAACUGGAACUGAGACAAGGACAAGAGGAAUACGGGAGGCAGCAGUAGGGAAGCGUGCGCAAUGGGCGAAAGGCUGACGGAGCAACGAAGCGUGAGUGAUGAAGGAGUACGGAUCGUAAAACUCUGUUAUAAGGGAAGAACAAAUGGGUAAGUAAGAAGGCAAGUAUUGACGGUACCUAAUCAGAAAGCAACGGCUAACUACGUG
rnacentral:rRNA from 1 species